GACCGGGAGCAUUAUCUGAAUGAACUAAUGACCAACAGGUGGGCAGAAAUGAGUGCUGUGGAUUGAUAACAGGGACAGCCAGACCCCCUCCCAUCCCCACGAGGCAGAGGCACCAGAGCUUCCAGGCAAAAAGAGAGAACGACGUACAAUGGGGUAAAGCCUCCAUGUGUAGGCGAUGUUGUGAGGAAAGGGUGGCCGGUUGGAAGGGAACAUUUUUAAAUUGA
rnacentral:lncRNA from 1 species